AGUGCCCUUGGAGACCUUGUGCUGCUUUCAGGGUUUGCUGGGAGGCAGCGGCUUGUCGUCCUCGCCCUUCAGGUGCUGCUUGUACAGGAGGACCAGCCUGCGGGGUGCGAGUCACAGCGCUGAGCCCCAGCCCCACUAAACCCCUUGGAGGGGGGAAACGGAGGCACUUGGUGCCUCUCCCCCCCACACCGCCACCCCUCGUAGUGCUGCUGGGUCCACACUUGCCCACACUGGUGCUGCUGGGGCUGCUGCCCAGCUCACCGUACAGGUUCUUCUACAGCCAUCUCCCUGUUACCUGCGGAGGCAGACGGUGUGAAGAUGGAUGAACCCUCCCCAAACCUGGAGCACAGAGCCAUGGGAUGGGGGACGCUGCCUGCUUACCAGCUCGUAGGCUCCAAGCUUCUCCAUGCUUUGUAAAUCUUGCACAGGUUAACUGGAAAGAAGGAAGGAGUCAGGGAGAUGCGGUGCACACCAGCUCUUUGUCCCAAAGGCUCCUCCAUCCCCAGAACAUCCUCCGUCCUAGAAGCCCCUGCCAGUCCGGUGCUCUUUAACAUCUUUGUCAGUGACAUCGGUGACGGAAUGGAGUGCACCCUCAGCAAUUUGCUGACGACACCAAGCUGAGUGGUGCGGUUGCCGCAGUAGAAGGAAGGGAUGCCGUUCAGAGGGACCUCGACAGGCUGGAAAGUUCCACCUCAUGAGCACCUUUCCUACAGCUGGGGAAAAGGCUGGCAAACAAACAGCACAAAGACCACACCUUGGUUCUUGAGAGUCACAGCACUGUGUUUAUUGCAGGGAGUG